rnacentral:rRNA from 1 species
UACGUAGGGGGCUAGCGUUGUCCGGAUUUAUUGGGCGUAAAGAGCGCGCAGGCGGUCGUUCAAGUCGAGUGUGAAAGCCCCCGGCUCAACUGGGGAGGGUCACUCGAUACUGAUCGACUUGAAGGCAGGAGAGGGAAGCGGAAUUCCCGGUGUAGUGGUGAAAUGCGUAGAUAUCGGGAGGAACACCAGUGGCGAAGGCGGCUUCCUGGCCUGUUCUUGACGCUGAGGCGCGAAAGCUAGGGGAGCAAACGGG